AUCAACGUAUGCUUUACUCUUAAAAAUAGUCUGUUCAUAUUUUAAACGUUGCACUUUUUUGUCAGUUAUAAAUAGCUAGUAAACUAACAUAAAACCAGAUACAUGUGUAAUUACUUAAUGUUAGAUUGCUAACUAUCUAGGUAAUAUGUCAAGUCAGUGAGUUAGCAAUUUACAUUUUUCGGUUUGCACAUUAAACUAGAAUUUUGACAUGGAGUCCAGGGCCCAUUUCAUGGAGCAUCAGGCAGACAGGUCAGAGGUCGCUGGAGUCAGUCCAACUCGUUACCAUCUCUGUAGAGGACAUGGCGUGUUGAGUAUUUAAGAUCUGAGGUUGCUGCUUUUGAACAUGAGCACAUUCAACAAUUGAAUUUACAGCUGACAUAGCAAGUGUUGGAGCAAUGUGUGGAUCGGGAUCGGGGCCUUGAGGUAUUCAGGCAUUGUGCCCCUUCUCCAACAUCACCUCCUGUCUCCAGCCAACCAUCCUGGAGCAUCUACCAGAGGAGCAGAGAGAUUAUGCCUUCUGUGGUGGAGAGAAAGUGCAGCAUGCGACAGCCACCUUGUUGCAUUUCAGCCCUACCACACAUGGAGCCUUACACUCUUAAGGCAUGAGUCCUGCAUCUGGGCAGGAGCAUCUGGAAUGACGUGUGCUGCUGUUGAAUUUCCAGAUUUAGAUGAAGAACAGGCUGCAUACAGACAAUUUAUGCCUUGGCACUAUGGGACUUUGGGUCCUGAUCACAGAGCGGUCAUCCCAAACUGGAGUGUUUGGACUAUCCAGGAUAGAUUUCUAGAUCCCUUUGGAGAGUACAGGAGAUUUAUUUCAAGCAGAAUAUAGCUGCAGUGGUUUAAAAUGUUUAAUGCAUUCUGUCUGCAUAUGAAUAUUUGGCUUAUUCAAAACAUUUCUAAUACAUUUGUUGUGAAUACUUCUCAAUAAAGGGUUUAAAAAAUA